AGCGAACGUUAGCGGCGGGCCUAACACAUGCAAGUCGAACGCGAAAGGUCUUCGGACUGAGUAGAGUGGCGCACGGGUGAGUAACACGUAGGUAAUCUACCCUUUGGCGGGGGAUAACGUUCCGAAAGGAGCGCUAAUACCGCAUAAGACCACGGAGUCUCCGGACGCUGUGGGAAAAGGUGGCCUCUUCUUGAAAGCUACCACCGAAGGAUGAGCCUGCGUCCCAUCAGCUAGUUGGUAAGGUAAUGGCUUACCAAGGCGAAGACGGGUAGCUGGUUUGAGAGAAUGAUCAGCCACACUGGAACUGAGACACGGUCCAGACUCCUACGGGAGGCAGCAGUGGGGAAGUUUUGGUACAAAUGGGCGGCAAGCCUGAUCCAGCAAUAGCCGCCGUGUGUGAAGAAGGACCGUCGCGGGUUGGUUAAAGACAC
rnacentral:rRNA from 1 species